GUCCCAGACUCCUACGGGAGGCAGCAGUGAGGAAUAUUGGUCAAUGGGCUUACGCCUGAACCAGCCAAGUCGCGUGAGGGAAGACUGCCCUAUGGGUUGUAAACCUCUUUUGUCAGGGAGCAACGCCGGCUACGUGUAGCCGGACUGAGAGUACCUGAAGAAAAAGCAUCGGCUAACUCCGUGCCAGCAGCCGCGGUAAUACGGAGGAUGCGAGCGUUAUCCGGAUUUAUUGGGUUUAAAGGGUGCGUAGGCGGACUGGAAAGUCAGCGGUAAAAUCGAGAGGCUCAACCUCUUUCCGCCGUUGAAACUGUCGGUCUUGAGUGGGCGAGAAGUAUGCGGAAUGCGUGGUGUAGCGGUGAAAUGCAUAGAUAUCACGCAGAACUCCGAUUGCGAAGGCAGCAUACCGGCGCCCGACUGACGCUGAGGCACGAAAGCGCGGGGAUCGAACAGGAUUAGAUACCCGAGUA
rnacentral:rRNA from 1 species